AAUAAGUGCAGUUUUAACAUUGUUUAUGUCCAACAUUUGACCGUUCGUCUUAUUUGAAAAAAGAUUAUAAUUAGUAUUUUUAUUGUUAUUAGAUGAUAAAAUAUGAAUAAUGCUUUAUGUGUGACUAAUUUUUUAAUAUUUUUCAUAAAUUUUUCAAAUAAGACAGAUGGUCAAAACGCUGAGUACGCAUAUUUAUGGCUGCACUUAUU
rfam:Oryza nivara chromosome 4, whole genome shotgun sequence.